GCCCGCCCGUAGGAACCCCACGAAAAAAAAACAUCCUGAACUGGCCACCUCGCCUCCCUCCCGAGCACCGCCCGCCGCCACCCUCCUGCGCGCCGGCCACGGCCUCCCUCCUGCGCGUCACCGGCCACCGCCUCCCUCCCCGCACUAACGUCCGCCGCAUCCCUCCCCCGCACUGACGGCCGCCGCAUCCCUCCCCCGCACCGACGGCCGCCGCAUCCCUCCCCGCACCGACGGCCGCUAUAUCCCUCCCCCGUGCAAACGACCGCUGCAAGCUCCUCCCGCUCAUGGCCGCCGCAAGCUCCUCCCGUACGCCAACCUCCACCCCGCCUUCCCCCUCUGCUCUCCCUCACGCUCGGGCGCCAGCCAUCCUUCUUCCCCGCGCGCGGCACCUCGAUCCACCGCCGGCCGACCUCCCUCGUCCCGUUUCCUGGCCGCCGUCCAUGUCGUGCCAUUGUUUCUGGAAGAAAACCAACUUGGACUUCGUUGACGGCCUUUGCACCAUUUUGAGCGCUGACAGCUCCUUCCUUUGCCAUUGAUACAGCCAUCGACAUGUACUGGGUGUUCCUUCGCAAGUUCAAUUAGUGUCAUCACACAAGUUCAGAAGUUUGAUUUUGUGAAGAAGUAUGAAAAUUGUCAGUGCAAAUGUGGAAAACCAGAAAGUUCUAAUAAUGGUGUACCAAAAGUUCAAGGUUAGUAAUCUGGGGACGUUAGAGCAACUGCCGAUGGAGGCGGAGUCAAAAUCUCGUGACUUUCUACUGCAGAUCUUCAGCAUGGACUUCGAUGAAGACACUCCUCUGAUGUUAAUGCGCUUCUGCAUUUUAAUAAAGAAGUUACAGAAUUUCAGUUCCUCGGUACUUAUAAGAUCUUGAGAGGAUGACAGAGGAUGCCCAUGUGUACUGUGUACAAGCCAGCCAGCCAUGUAUAAGGAUCCAAUGGAAGACUGGAUUUGGUUGUUGUUAAUUAGCAGCCACCUAAGCCUAGCAAUUGACCGUGGAGCACGUACUGGAUCCCUGACACGAUGCAAUUAGUCAUCAGUGUCGACGACUGAUUUAUUUUGUUUUGUACAAGUUAAAACAUCAGUGGCCAUAGGGAAGGAGACCUUCCCAAAUCGUGCCCCUGGACAAUGCAACAAUGAAUUGGACGCCGUUUCCGCCUCUCUUCCAGCAGCGCCGAUGUCCCCUUCUAGCUCAGCACCGGUUUCCCCGCCUCGUGAUACGGUCUGCGGUUGCUUGUGAGUUGUCUGCUAGGUGUUGUUUAAGUGUCACAGACGGCGUGUUGUCUCCUGGCAUCUGGAUUAGCUGCCGACUGCAAAUAAAAGCACGAGGGAGGCUAGAGCGACUGCAGACCGGUGACGAGAACCACUCUUCAGUUCUGCUAUUCGUGUAUUGGAAGUACGUAUCCUCUAUCCAGGCAGGAGGUAGAGUACAAGUUUUGGAAGGCCGGGGAGUUCUACCGCUGGCAUACACCAAGUUCAGAGAUGUUGCAUGGAGUGAGCCGACACCGCGUGGGACAAGGUCAUCAUCUUGAGGAGGUCAAUGAGGUCAGUGAUACCAUGCACGCUGAAACGAUGGCCUUACACUAGGCUGUAUGUAUAACUUGGUCCAUGGGAUGCAGGCUUGUGCUGCUUGAAACGGAUGCGACUAACCUGUAGAAAGCAUUACAGGAAGUGAUUUAAGAGAUGAAUGUGUAUGCUGUUGCACUACUUUUGCUUGUUGUUUUUAUAAAGUUGAUUGCUGU